GCGAUGAGCAUUUCUCGGUCCUGCCAGGGGAUCUGAGCGGCACAUAACAACAUCCACUAUGAAAUGUGGUGUGUGCUGGGCGGUGGCUGACUGAGGAGCUCGAGAGUAGGAGUGAGGCAGGCUGUUUUAAAGAGGUGGCGAGGGAAGGCCUCUCUGGGCAAAGGCAGAGACUUGCAAAGACUUGAUUGGUGUGAGGAAGUAAGCCAUUCAAAGUCAAGGGCACCAGAGGUUCUAAGCAGAGGAAACAGCAAAUGCAAAGUGGAGAACAAGCUUGGCACAUUUGAGAACCAACAAUAAGUCCAGUGUGUCUGGAGCCACAAGAGUGAAGGAGAGAGCAGCUGGCGGUUCAGCCAAUGGGGUACCAGGAAACCAGAUGGCGGAGAGCCUGGUAGACCAUGGUAGAAACGUAUGGGAAACUGCAUUCCAAUUCAGGGAAGUAUAGGAAGCAGUAAUGAAAGUGGGAAGACCUAUUACAAGUUUGUUGCAGUCAUCCAGCUGCUGAUUUUCUCUCGAGGGCUCACACCCCUGGACUCUGGGUGGUCCUGGGAGGAUGUGAACCCUGUACCCUGACUCCCAUCACUGAGGCCAAGGGUCUGGACUCUUCCUCCUCCUCCUACUCCAGCACAGUGGGGAACCCGGCAGGACAGCUGUCCUCUGGGACUCUUGAGUUCACUCGCUUCAGCCACCAAGCACUGACGGGAGUGUUUCCACCAAAGGGCAGCUCCUGCGGCUUCCACUUCCCCUCUCCAAGGUGCCAGGGUUACUGUCUGUUGUCCAGCCUUCCAUGGCAUGCCUGUCUCUCCAGAUCAUCUCACUCAAUUCUCUCAUUGCUCCAGUGAGCCUGGAUUGUUUUCUGUUGCCGACAACAGAAAACCCCAACUGAUACCCUUGCCAUUCCCCAAGGUCACUUACCCAGAUCAAGGUCCAGCCUGAGACUUGAGUUCCUAUUGAGUCCCCUACAGGAGCACAGCUGUGAGCUAAAUUGUGCCUCUCCCUAGGUUCAUUCCUAACCCUCUCAGACCUCAGGAUGGGACAGUAUUUGGAGACAUGGUCUUUAUUGAGCUAAUACAGGUUAAAUAGUUUACUCAGGGGAUCCUCAUCCAAUACAACUGGUGUCCUUAUAAGAGGAAAUUGGGACACACGUUGGUGUGCAGUGGGAAGACCAUGGGAGGACAGACAGAGAAACUUGGCCAUCUGCAAGCCCAGGAGAGAGACUUAGAACAAAUCAAUCUGCGGACAACUUGAUCUUGGACUUCUAGCCUCCAGAACUGUGAGAAAAUACAUUUCUGUUGCGUAAGCGGCCCAGCCUGUGGUCCUUUGUCAUGGCAGCCCUGGCAGAUGAGUGCAGACCGCACUUCCCACCGCCAUGGUGCCACUGUCUGUGGACAGCAUGCCAGCCUCAUCGCACGAGUCACCCCUGAAGAUGCUCAAAUUAGCAGGCUGUUCUUAGAACCAAAUUUCCUGGACAGGCUUCAGAAAGCAUUCUCUCUGGUGAUACAGACAUCUGAAAGACACACACACACACACACACACACACACACACACCCCAAAAACAAACAAAAAACCCAUGGCCAAAAAAA